rnacentral:misc_RNA from 1 species
AUGUCUCUUGAUGGGCACAUUCCAGUGCGCAGCCUUCUUGAAGCGUCGAUUACCAGAAGCGGCUCGGCAACAAAAAAGAGUUGUUAUUACUAACUUUUUGUUCUUAUUGCUCGUUUGAAAGAUCGGGCGCACGCAUUGAGGUCCCCCACACCUUCACAAGUGCGCUACUUGUGAGCUGCCGCACUCCCUCCGUUCUCUGCUUGGCUGCAGUGACCGGCCAGAUCCUAGGGACUCCCUCGCGCGAAGUACCCGUGCGCGCUGGUGUGCCGCCGCUUGCCUCGCCAGCGCUUUUCGGCUGCCAUCAGCGCGGCCACUUAGACUCUGUUUUCUUUCCACUUCUUUAGUGCGUCACCAACAAAAGUGGUCGACGGCAUACACAUCCAAGCGCAGAUUGAGCUGCCGCCAUGUCGCAUCCUGCAGAUUUAGUGACGCCGCCUAGCGCUGCCGACAACACACCUGGCGGCAACGGAGCUCCGAAAAAUUGGCGCUCCACAUCGGCAGCUAACUCUUCUUCCUCCUAUACUCGGUGGCGGAACUCACGGAGGGCAGACGCCUCCGACCGCAGCCUCCAGAGUCAUUCGCCGGCUGCCGACGGGGCUUCCACAACUGAUGCGGAGGCGUCAACGAGUAGUCUCCCGGUCGUCAUUCAGCUCUCGCGCGACCGCAAACGAGACGGCAGGCGGAGCUCGUCCGAGCAAAACACCUCAACGACGUCCGAGGCGCGACCGCUGGCCUCGGUCGAAGAGCGGUCCUUCCGCUCUGGUCUGCCUGGGAGUGCGGCUCCCUCGCAUGGCGAGCUGUCCGUGCGAGGUCGCAGCGACGCCGAGGAGCGGGUUUGGCAUCCCAUUAAGCUGAAGGACGGAGAGGACUCUGCGCGGUGGUCGCAGACUUCGUUAGGGGCCGUGAGCCGUAGACGAGGCGAGGUACACUGUUGCAGUAAACCGCGUGACGCGAGUGAUGCUGCUGCGAUCCCUGCUUCCUCAGAGGCCAGCGAGCUGACGCUGGCUAUCGCUGAAGCAGUGCCGCGAAUAGCCCAGGAGCAGGCGUCCGCCACCGAGGCAUACGCGGACCGCUGGUCGCACGAGCUGCAGCAGAGCACCGCAACGGAGGAAGAGCUGCGUCAUCUCUACCAACAGCUUGAAAAGGAGCUGAUAGGGACGCGGCGUGCCGCAAACACCGCGGAGGAGAGGCACAAGCGCGAGCUGGAGUUGCUGAAACGGCAGCUCGAGCAGGAGAGAGCCGAGCGAUUGAAGGCGGAGCAGGACCGCGAGGACCUCCUGGCGCAGGCCACUAUGAGCCCCUCCCACACUCCACGCACGGGUGGUGGGCUACCGAGCGCAGAGCAGAGUGGCGACUUUAAGGGGCGCCAAAGUCUUGGCAUCUCGCCGAGCAACGCGUACAUCAGCGACGUCUUCUAUGACAAGCUGAAGGAGAGGGAAGAGCGGGCACGCGCGCGGGUGCGCAAGGAGUUUGUGCGCCAGGCACAGGAGAGCCUCUACGCUGAGCAGCGCAAGCGUGCCGAGGCCGAGAAAGCGACGGAGGUGACGCUGAAACGGCUCGAUAAGGCGGAGGAGGAUAUCAGCAAAGCCCAAGAAGCGCUGCAGGAGGCGACGAGUGUCCUGGAGGCGAAGGAUGUGCAGCUGCACGAGCGCGCCAUCCAUGUUCAGGAGCUGGAAGCGCAAGUUCACCUUCUCGAGCGCCAGCUCGCGGCUGCCCAGGACGCGGAGCGGCUGUCCUCCGAACUCGCUUCGAAGAACCUCGAAGAGGUAAAGGCCUUGGCAGAUCAGCGACAGGCAGAGCUGGAGGCGCAGCGACAGUUUGUGCACCAGCUACAGGAGAAAAUCGGGCUAACUACCCUCGACCUGUUUGACCGCGAGAACGACCAGGAGGACGUGCUGCGCACCGUGCAUGAGCUGCGGGCGCGCUGCCGGCAGCUGGAAGAAGAGUUCGCGGCAGCGGUGCAAGAGGCGACGGUGCUCUUGGAGCAGAGGCGGCAGCGUGCCGAAGACGAGGCGCAGCUUCUGCGAGGGCGCAACGAGGAGCUCAAGCAACGUUGUGUGACAAUGGGAGAGGAGCUGGCGGAGUUGAAGACUCGGCUAGAGUGCGACAGCAGCGAGGUGGCGCAGCUGCGCGCGCGCAACGAAAAAGCCCUCAGUGAAUGCCACGUCGAGAUCCGCAGCCUGCAGCUGCAGCUGGAGCGUGUCACAGAGGUGGCUCAGCGGCGCUCGUCGGAGAGCGCCACCGCGAAAGAGAUCGAACAAGAGCAGAGCGCGGCUCUCGUUCGUCAGUACGCGGCCGAGGCACGAUCUGUGCAGGAGGAGCUCGAUCGCCUCAAGUCACAGUCUCACCGCGAACAUGAGAAGCACUUGACCACGGUGCUCGACCUGUCGCAGCAAAUCACCGCACUGAAACAGGCGAAUACCCAGCUGGAGCACGCCAUCAACGUUCGAGAGCGCGAGAGCACCGACGCGACGCGCCUGCUGGGCCGCGCGCGCGAAGAGGUGUCGCAGCUUCGAGAGGAGCGCCGUCGGAUGAGCGCGCCUUUCUUUGACCACCGCGAAGGCAGCCAGCCGAGCAGCACCGCGAGCAGUUACGACGCUCUGCUGCGCCGCAUCGCGGAGCUCGAGAAUGUGCAGAAGGAGCUGACGGAAAGACUGCGCGUGGCCAACUCCACUGUAGAACAGCUGCAGUCGAUGCAACAGGCCACCGCUGAUCAGCCGAAGAGCAGACGUGCUCCGGCCGGCCAUCAUCGCCGCCGCCGAUCGAAGCCCUACUUUCCCGUUCCGCCGACCGACUCCUUCCUGCAAAUGUCGGAUGAUGAGCGAGAGAAACUGCAGGCGGGCGGCCACGACGUGGCGACUGCGCCGCUCAGUUUCAUGGGUGGCUCACUGAUGUCGGUUUUCACUGGACAUAGGGAGCCCACAGCAUCUCUGCUGGAUCUGUUAGAGUCGAUUGUGCAGCAGCUGGAGUCCAUUAUUCGCUGCGCCAGGCAGCAAGGGGAGCCCGCGGUUCGGCGCAACUCACCCACCGCGUCACCGAGCCCGCAGGAGCACCAGGUGCAGCAAUUCAAGCAGACAGAGGAGCUCGAGGCGCUCGAUCGUGUGCUGGUGAGUUGUAUGGCGGCGCUGGAGUGCUGCCACCUUCGGCGCACCUCCUCACCCUUCUACUCCUCCUUCCGCGACGGUGCAGAGGGGAAGGAGUCGAAUGGGGCCGCCGUCCGGGGAGAGGGGAAGGCCGCUGGGCGCGAGGCGCCGUCUCCAUCUGUAGGGGCUUCUCUUGUUGACAGUGACCGCACAGGCGCUGCCCGCUCACGGUCCUCUUCCGUGGCAGAUCGGUGGCUGCAGCACGUGCAAAACCACCGUGAUGUGGCGCAGCACGCCACGUCGGCCGCGCUGCCUCAAGACCACUUCCCCCAGAUACCGCUGGAGAGGCCGAGGCGGAGCUCCCAGCGCUCUCGGUCCUCCGUCGGCGGCGAUGAUGAAUUCUUAUCGUGCUUUAGUAACACAUCUGCGGCCGCCCCGCAUCUGCCGACCGAAAGAACAGCGCGUGGGGGUGCCGCAGCGUGUGUUUUGCAGCGUUCGAAGCAGGAGUGCACGCCAGCGGGAAAGCGUCUCUUUGACGGCUCGGAUGCUGUACAGCGCAUCCAGCCACGCACCUCAGCUUCUGUGAGCGAGGGCGACCGAGAGGUGUUGCAGUCUGAGCCGUGCUGGGAGGGCGAUGCGGAUACGGAGGCGAUUGUGCAAGGCGAACGUGUUGCUCCUUCCGUUCUGCUGCACCUCUCAGCUAGAUAUACGUGCACUACCGAGUCACCUCCUGCUCGUCCACGUCGGACCGAGGCUGCUCCAAAAAGGCGCGGGUCCUCUGGCGUUACAGCAGCCGCAUCACACACUAAGCCUGACUUGAGCGCGAAGUAAGUGGCGCGAUUUGGCACGUCGCUAAGCGACUUUAGAAAGUUCGAAGCAUACGCACACAUUUAACGGAGCAGCGCCAGGAUAGGAUGAAGACGGCGUUCUGCACAGCCCGCCCUCUCCUACAGGCACGCCGUUCGGUGCUGCUCUGAAUGCGCCGCGUAAGGUGUCCGUCUUGGCGUCCGCAUCGCCACUGGUGCCGCGCUCUUCUCUUUCCUCCUCAAUCCAGUGGCCGACCUGCCCUGCCACCUGCUCUGCAACGUUGACUACGUGUCAUCUGCGCUUCCGUAGCACGGGCCGGAGAGCGAGGUUCAUGAGAGCACACCACCGCCGGAGGCAUGCCGCUCGAGCGUCGCUGAAGACAGAGGCAUGCGAAAAUUUGGCUAAGCGUCCAACCCACGCUGACUGCCGCUGCAGCGCUCACGGAUGGAAAUGGAGGCUACGACGCUGAGGUACGUGUUCAACGCAGUAGUGAUGGCGUACCAGCAUUUCGCACUGGACUCCCGUGCUGUUGAUCGGCGACCCGUUCGUCGUGCUUUAUCGAGUUGCUGGUUGCUUGUGCGCUUCUCGCCACCUUUUUUUUUCUAUAUUGCAUUCGUGCACACCUCCUCAGCCUUUCGAGUGCUAACAGGCGUGGGCGUUGCCUCCACCGACACAUCGUGCAAGAAAAGCGAGUCCAGCAGAGGUAAGACUGUCGCCGCGUUUUUACUGCGACUCCCAAGCGCCGCAUCCAUGGCGCGAGUCGCAGUCGUCAAAUGGCCAACGCCAAUUGGGCUGCCCAACGCGCACAGCUGGUGUACGUGUGCGGUGCUCUAGUGUUCAGUGUAGAGCACCUAUCGUGUUCCGCGUCUUCCUCGAUGUGUCAUUGUGUCUGCCGCGGUGAAUUCCUGAUGCCGUCGCUCGUGCGCUCUCUUCUGUUUUUCGUUUUCUUCUUGUUUCGUCUUUCCUGUCUCCGCGACAUCUUCCUGGCGCUGGUGAAUCGACACACAG